GACGAACGCUGGCGGCGUGCUUAACACAUGCAAGUCGAACGGAAAGGCCCUGCUUUUGUGGGGUGCUCGAGUGGCGAACGGGUGAGUAACACGUGAGUAACCUGCCCUUGACUUUGGGAUAACUUCAGGAAACUGGGGCUAAUACCGGAUAGGAGCUCCUGCUGCAUGGUGGGGGUUGGAAAGUUUCGGCGGUUGGGGGUGGACUCGCGGCUUAUCAGCUUGUUGGUGGGGUAGUGGCUUACCAAGGCUUUGACGGGUAGCCGGCCUGAGAGGGUGACCGGCCACAUUGGGACUGAGAUACGGCCCAGACUGCUACGGGAGGCAGCAGUGGGGAAUAUUGCACAAUGGGCGGAAGCCUGAUGCAGCAACGCCGCGUGCGGGAUGACGGCCUUCGGGUUGUAAACCGCUUUCGCCUGUGACGAAGCGUGAGUGACGGUAAUGGGUAAAGAAGCACCGGCUAACUACGUG
rnacentral:rRNA from 1 species